rnacentral:rRNA from 1 species
GCUAAAUACUCCUGAGAGACCGAUAGUGAACCAGUACCGUGAGGGAAAGGUGAAAAGAACCGUGAAUAACGGAGUGAAAUAGAUCCUGAAACCAUACGCUUACAAGCGGUCGGAGCCCUUUCGUGGGGUGACGGCGUGCCUUUUGCAUAAUGAGCCUACGAGUUACCGUUGCUGGCAAGGAUAAGUGUUUAAGACAUGGAUCCGUAGCGAAAGCGAGUCUGAAUAGGGCGCUAUAGUCAGUAG